rnacentral:snRNA from 1 species
GUGCUCGCUUCGGCAGCACAUAUACAAAAAUCGGAACGAUACAGAGAAGAUCAACAUGGCCCUUGCGCAAGGAUGAUACGCAAAUUUGUGAAGCGUUCCAUAUAAAA